rnacentral:rRNA from 1 species
UACGUAGGUGGCAAGCGCUGUCCGGAAUUAUUGGGCGUAAAGCGCGCGCAGGCGGUUUCUUAAGUCUGAUGUGAAAGCCCACGGCUCAACCGUGGAGGGUCAUUGGAAACUGGGAGACUUGAGUGCAGAAGAGGAGAGUGGAAUUCCACGUGUAGCGGUGAAAUGCGUAGAUAUGUGGAGGAACACCAGUGGCGAAGGCGACUCUCUGGUCUGUAACUGACGCUGAGGCGCGAAAGCGUGGGGAGCGAACAGG